AUCCCCGUAUGCGUAAAGUCAUACCAACGGCUUUAUGCGUAAAAUCCUGUAUGGGCCCGGGCCACUACAACGGCAGGGUACCAACAACAAUACAAGGAG
rnacentral:ncRNA from 1 species